GGGUAUCUUGCUGGAGAUGCCUGCCUAUCUGAGGCCUUUUAAAGGAAGUGCUGCAAUAGGGACAUGAAAGAGACCUUGUGUUCAUCUGGCCAGACUCCUCAUCUGAAUGCAGCCGGUGGGCUCUGCACUUGUAAAAUAUUACUACUUUCCUUAGCAGGCAGUAUGAGUGCAGUUUAGCUACUUACCCAUAUGGGACAAAGGUUGCAAAAAUUCAACAUGUCAUCAAGGCAAAAGGAGGAAAAUGGAAAGAAAGAGGAACUUAUAACCAAGCAGUCCUCCCAUGCUGAGGUGUAUGGGAAUGGCGGUGCACUGUAUGGGUGGAGAGUCUACUUGGGUCUGAAUAACACUCUAAAGAUUUUUGCCACCAAAAUCAUUGAUGAUGGCAAGAGGUUUUCUCGCCAAGGCUGUAAUUUCUGCUUAUACACCAAUGGGUCUGAAAAACAAAUGUCCAACCCUCCUGAAAUGAAUGGGUGUCAAACAGUGGGACUGUCAACAAUACUUUGACUGUAGUUGCUUAUUUGAGGAAGCCCAUGGCUCAGAGAUGGCACAGUAAUGCAAGGUUGAUGCUCAGGAUGCAAAGGAAGAUUCAACAGGGAAAAGCAGAAAAAAAGAAAAAGUAAACCUCCGUCUUGGGGCUGUCAGUCACUGAUGCAAGAGAAAUAAAAACAGAAGUUAAUGAUU
rnacentral:lncRNA from 7 species